rnacentral:rRNA from 1 species
UACGUAGGGACCAAGCGUUGUUCGGAUUUACUGGGCGUAGAGGGCGCGUAGGCGGCAAUUCAAGUCAUCUGUGAAAUCUCCGGGCUUAACUCGGAACGGUCAGAUGAUACUGCUUUGCUAGAGUACAGAAGGGGCAAUCGGAAUUCUUGGUGUAGCGGUGAAAUGCGUAGAUAUCAAGAGGAACACCUGAGGUGAAGACGGGUUGCUGGGCUGAUACUGACGCUGAGGCGCGAAAGCUAGGGUAGCAAACGGG